ACGGGUGAGUAAUGCCUAGGAAUCUGCCUGGUAGUGGGGGAUAACGUUCGGAAACGAACGCUAAUACCGCAUACGUCCUACGGGAGAAAGCAGGGGACCUUCGGGCCUUGCGCUAUCAGAUGAGCCUAGGUCGGAUUAGCUAGUUGGUGAGGUAAUGGCUCACCAAGGCGACGAUCCGUAACUGGUCUGAGAGGAUGAUCAGUCACACUGGAACUGAGACACGGUCCAGACUCCUACGGGAGGCAGCAGUGGGGAAUAUUGGACAAUGGGCGAAAGCCUGAUCCAGCCAUGCCGCGUGUGUGAAGAAGGUCUUCGGAUUGUAAAGCACUUUAAGUUGGGAGGAAGGGCAGUUACCUAAUACGUAAUUGUUUUGACGUUACCGACAGAAUAAGCACCGGCUAACUCUGUGCCAGCAGCCGCGGUAAUACAGAGGGUGCAAGCGUUAAUCGGAAUUACUGGGCGUAAAGCGCGCGUAGGUGGUUCGUUAAGUUGGAUGUGAAAUCCCCGGGCUCAACCUGGGAACUGCAUUCAAAACUGUCGAGCUAGAGUAUGGUAGAGGGGUGGUGGAAUUUCCUGUGUAGC
rnacentral:rRNA from 1 species